AGGCUCGCACAUCGAUGAAGAACGCUGCGAACUGCGUUACGUAAUGCGAAUUGCAGGAUUCAGUGAGUCAUCGAAAUUUUGAACGCAUAUUGCACUUCCGGGUUAGUCCUGGAAGUAUGCCUGUAUCAGUGUCC
rnacentral:rRNA from 1 species